rnacentral:ncRNA from 1 species
UCUAGUUAAUUCCAUUUACGAACGAGACAUUAGCCUGCUAACUAGCUACACGGAGGUGAUCCUCCGUGGCUAGCUUCUUAGAGGGACUAUGGCCUUUUAGGCCACGGAAGUUUGAGGCAAUAACAGGUCUAUGAUGCCCUUGGAAAGGGGCCUAAGUCCCCUAGAAAGGGGCACCGGAGAGGGUGAGAGCCCCAUCAUGCCCGGACCCUGUCGUAUCAUGAGGCGCUGUCUACGAGUCAGGUUGUUUGGGAAUGCAGCCCUAAUCGGGCUGUAAAUUCCGUCUAAGGCUAAAUACGGGUGAGAGACCGAUAGUGAACAAGUACCGCGAGGGAAAGAUGAAAAGGACUUUGAAAAGAGAGUCAAAGAGUGCUUGAAAUUGUCAGGAGGGAAGCGGAUGAGGGCUGGCGAUGCGCCCCAAUCAAAGUGGAACGGUGAGAGCCAGUCUACCGAUCGGCUCGAGGUGUGGACUUACGCGGGUCGUGUCGGUGGCCCAAGCUCCGGCCUUUGAUACGCCUAUGGAGACGUCGUCGCCUCGAUCGUGGGAUCCAGCACGCACUGUCUCGGCGUGCUUCGGCACCUACGUGUUCCGGACGUCGGCCUGCGGGCUCCCCAUUCUACCCAUCUUGAAACACGG